rnacentral:snRNA from 1 species
GUGUUCGCUUCGGCAGCACAUAUAUUAAAAUUGGAACAAUACAGAGAAGAUUAGCAUGGCCCCGGCACAAGGAUGACACGCAAAUUCGUGAAGCAUUCCAUGUUUUU